rnacentral:lncRNA from 1 species
AACAAAAGGAAGUUGAAAUAUAAAAUAGAAAAGCAAGCUUGUUUUUCUCCCCUGGAGAGCUCUGGGCUUUGGAGAAAUCAUAGGAAUCACAGAGGAAAAAGAGAAAAGGAAGUCAGUCUCCCCCUGCCAAGACUCAGGGGACAGAAAGUAAGAAAGGAAUCAGGCUGGAAGAAAAACAUUGCAGCAGAGAGAGUCAUCAGAGAGCUGGAAGCCAAGUGCCCUCCUCCACGUUCUCUCUACUGUGCCAUGUGGCUUGUGUUGAUACAGACCCUUGGGCUGGACCAAUCCUGGAAGAUCAAGAGCUGACUGGUGAGCCCAGGGCGAAAGUGGUGGGGAUAGGGUGAGAGGCGCAAUGCUCUGGGAUUUGUAGAAAAGUCAGGGUGGAGCCAGCACCCCUUUCUGUACCCUCCACUCACAUAGCACUAUGAUCCUAUAGGAGGCCCGGGGGAAGAAAGGGCUGCACAGAGUCAGCACAGAGAGGAGCAUUCUUGAGAAACAAGGACACGGAUGUUUAUUUGGGAGGUGAUCCCCUGAAGCACAGUGAUGAAGUAAGCAAGGUUAGACAUAGAAGACAAAGAAACAAUAAAGUGAAUGCUCUGAUGAAUGGGUUACUGUCAUGGGCAACUACGGUUGAUCCUUGGCAGCUUUCUGAAAACCAUGUGGCCCUUGCCUCAAAAUCAUGC